CGACGUUGCUGCCUCCCAGAGGCCGUUCCCGUAAAGCCAACGAGGCCCAGCCGGCCAGCAGGGAAGGAGGCGUGGAUGUGGAGCCGGUGGCUGCCAAGCCCCGGGCCCGCGCCGCUGCCUAGCGCGUCCCGGGGGCUCCGUGGGGACACGCCUGCCGCCGCGGCUCCGGGACCCGUACAGCCCCGCGCUGCGCGGAUGGCCCUGCUCCCGCGCCCCGCGCUCAUCCUCCUGCUCCUCCUCACGGCCGCUGUUGUCAGGUGCCUGGAGCAGGCCCAGACCACCGACUGGAGGACCACCCUGAAGACCAUCCGGAACGGCGUUCACAAGAUAGACACGUACCUGAACGCCGCCUUGGACCUCCUGGGAGGCGAGGACGGUCUCUGCCAGUAUAAAUGCAGUGACGGAUCUAAGCCUUUCCCACGUUAUGGUUAUAAACCCUCCCCACCGAAUGGAUGUGGCUCUCCACUGUUUGGUGUUCAUCUUAACAUUGGUAUCCCUUCCCUGACAAAAUGCUGCAACCAACACGAUAGGUGCUAUGAGACCUGUGGCAAAAGCAAGAAUGACUGCGACGAGGAGUUCCAGUAUUGCCUCUCCAAGAUCUGCCGAGAUGUACAGAAAACACUAGGACUAACUCAGCAUGUUCAGGCCUGUGAAACAACAGUGGAGCUCUUGUUUGACAGUGUUAUACAUUUAGGUUGUAGACCAUAUCUGGACAGCCAGCGAGCCGCAUGCAGGUGUCAUUAUGAAGAAAAAACCGAUCUUUAGGAGAUGCCGACAGCUGGUGAUGGAAGAAGACCAAAGAACAUAACCUUUGACAAAUAACUAAUGUUUUUACAACAUAAAACUGUCUUUAUUUUUGUGAAAGGAUUAUUUUGAGACCUUAAAAUAACUUAUAUCUUGAUCUUAAAACCUCAAAGAAAAAAAGGGAGAUAAUAAGGGGAGGGCACGCUUGUCUUCUCAGGUAUCUUCCUGGGCACUGCUCCCUUAGUAUGCCAAAUGUCUUGACCAGUAUCAAAAACAAGUGCUCAUUAAGGGGAGAAUUUUUGAAUAGAAGAAUAUAUAACUCAGUUUUCACACCUAUAUUUACCAAAGAGAAAUCAAAUAUAAAAUUCAUUAUAA